AAUGAACGCUGGCGGCAGGCCUAACACAUGCAAGUCGAGCGAAGUCUUCGGACUUAGCGGCGGACGGGUGAGUAACGCGUGGGAACAUGCCCUUUGGUUCGGAAUAGCCCCGGGAAACUGGGAGUAAUACCGCAUGUGCCCUUCGGGGGAAAGAUUUAUCGCCAAAGGAUUGGCCCGCGUUGGAUUAGGUAGUUGGUGGGGUAAUGGCCUACCAAGCCGACGAUCCAUAGCUGGUUUGAGAGGAUGAUCAGCCACACUGGGACUGAGACACGGCCCAGACUCCUACGGGAGGCAGCAGUGGGGAAUCUUAGACAAUGGGCGCAAGCCUGAUCUAGCCAUGCCGCGUGAUCGAUGAAGGCCUUAGGGUUGUAAAGAUCUUUCAGUGGGGAAGAUAAUGACGGUACCCACAGAAGAAGCCCCGGCUAACUCCGUG
rnacentral:rRNA from 1 species